GGGUUGUGAGGUUAAGCGACUAAGCGUACACGGUGGAUGCCCUGGCAGUCAGAGGCGAUGAAGGACGUGCUAAUCUGCGAUAAGCGUCGGUAAGGUGAUAUGAACCGUUAUAACCGGCGAUUUCCGAAUGGGGAAACCCAGUGUGUUUCGACACACUAUCAUUAACUGAAUCCAUAGGUUAAUGAGGCGAACCGGGGGAACUGAAACAUCUAAGUACCCCGAGGAAAAGAAAUCAACCGAGAUUCCCCCAGUAGCGGCGAGCGAACGGGGAGCAGCCCAGAGCCUGAAUCAGUGUGUGUGUUAGUGGAAGCGUCUGGAAAGGCGCGCGAUACAGGGUGACAGCCCCGUACACAAAAAUGCACAUGCUGUGAGCUCGAUGAGUAGGGCGGGACACGUGGUAUCCUGUCUGAAUAUGGGGGGACCAUCCUCCAAGGCUAAAUACUCCUGACUGACCGAUAGUGAACCAGUACCGUGAGGGAAAGGCGAAAAGAACCCCGGCGAGGGGAGUGAAAAAGAACCUGAAACCGUGUACGUACAAGCAGUGGGAGCACGCUUAGGCGUGUGACUGCGUACCUUUUGUAUAAUGGGUCAGCGACUUAUAUUCUGUAGCAAGGUUAACCGAAUAGGGGAGCCGAAGGGAAACCGAGUCUUAACUGGGCGUUAAGUUGCAGGGUAUAGACCCGAAACCCGGUGAUCUAGCCAUGGGCAGGUUGAAGGUUGGGUAACACUAACUGGAGGACCGAACCGACUAAUGUUGAAAAAUUAGCGGAUGACUUGUGGCUGGGGGUGAAAGGCCAAUCAAACCGGGAGAUAGCUGGUUCUCCCCGAAAGCUAUUUAGGUAGCGCCUCGUGAAUUCAUCUCCGGGGGUAGAGCACUGUUUCGGCAAGGGGGUCAUCCCGACUUACCAACCCGAUGCAAACUGCGAAUACCGGAGAAUGUUAUCACGGGAGACACACGGCGGGUGCUAACGUCCGUCGUGAAGAGGGAAACAACCCAGACCGCCAGCUAAGGUCCCAAAGUCAUGGUUAAGUGGGAAACGAUGUGGGAAGGCCCAGACAGCCAGGAUGUUGGCUUAGAAGCAGCCAUCAUUUAAAGAAAGCGUAAUAGCUCACUGGUCGAGUCGGCCUGCGCGGAAGAUGUAACGGGGCUAAACCAUGCACCGAAGCUGCGGCAGCGACGCUUAUGCGUUGUUGGGUAGGGGAGCGUUCUGUAAGCCUGCGAAGGUGUGCUGUGAGGCAUGCUGGAGGUAUCAGAAGUGCGAAUGCUGACAUAAGUAACGAUAAAGCGGGUGAAAAGCCCGCUCGCCGGAAGACCAAGGGUUCCUGUCCAACGUUAAUCGGGGCAGGGUGAGUCGACCCCUAAGGCGAGGCCGAAAGGCGUAGUCGAUGGGAAACAGGUUAAUAUUCCUGUACUUGGUGUUACUGCGAAGGGGGGACGGAGAAGGCUAUGUUGGCCGGGCGACGGUUGUCCCGGUUUAAGCGUGUAGGCUGGUUUUCCAGGCAAAUCCGGAAAAUCAAGGCUGAGGCGUGAUGACGAGGCACUACGGUGCUGAAGCAACAAAUGCCCUGCUUCCAGGAAAAGCCUCUAAGCAUCAGGUAACAUCAAAUCGUACCCCAAACCGACACAGGUGGUCAGGUAGAGAAUACCAAGGCGCUUGAGAGAACUCGGGUGAAGGAACUAGGCAAAAUGGUGCCGUAACUUCGGGAGAAGGCACGCUGAUAUGUAGGUGAAGUCCCUCGCGGAUGGAGCUGAAAUCAGUCGAAGAUACCAGCUGGCUGCAACUGUUUAUUAAAAACACAGCACUGUGCAAACACGAAAGUGGACGUAUACGGUGUGACGCCUGCCCGGUGCCGGAAGGUUAAUUGAUGGGGUUAGCGCAAGCGAAGCUCUUGAUCGAAGCCCCGGUAAACGGCGGCCGUAACUAUAACGGUCCUAAGGUAGCGAAAUUCCUUGUCGGGUAAGUUCCGACCUGCACGAAUGGCGUAAUGAUGGCCAGGCUGUCUCCACCCGAGACUCAGUGAAAUUGAACUCGCUGUGAAGAUGCAGUGUACCCGCGGCAAGACGGAAAGACCCCGUGAACCUUUACUAUAGCUUGACACUGAACAUUGAGCCUUGAUGUGUAGGAUAGGUGGGAGGCUUUGAAGUGUGGACGCCAGUCUGCAUGGAGCCGACCUUGAAAUACCACCCUUUAAUGUUUGAUGUUCUAACGUUGACCCGUAAUCCGGGUUGCGGACAGUGUCUGGUGGGUAGUUUGACUGGGGCGGUCUCCUCCUAAAGAGUAACGGAGGAGCACGAAGGUUGGCUAAUCCUGGUCGGACAUCAGGAGGUUAGUGCAAUGGCAUAAGCCAGCUUGACUGCGAGCGUGACGGCGCGAGCAGGUGCGAAAGCAGGUCAUAGUGAUCCGGUGGUUCUGAAUGGAAGGGCCAUCGCUCAACGGAUAAAAGGUACUCCGGGGAUAACAGGCUGAUACCGCCCAAGAGUUCAUAUCGACGGCGGUGUUUGGCACCUCGAUGUCGGCUCAUCACAUCCUGGGGCUGAAGUAGGUCCCAAGGGUAUGGCUGUUCGCCAUUUAAAGUGGUACGCGAGCUGGGUUUAGAACGUCGUGAGACAGUUCGGUCCCUAUCUGCCGUGGGCGCUGGAGAACUGAGGGGGGCUGCUCCUAGUACGAGAGGACCGGAGUGGACGCAUCACUGGUGUUCGGGUUGUCAUGCCAAUGGCACUGCCCGGUAGCUAAAUGCGGAAGAGAUAAGUGCUGAAAGCAUCUAAGCACGAAACUUGCCCCGAGAUGAGUUCUCCCUGACUCCUUGAGAGUCCUGAAGGAACGUUGAAGACGACGACGUUGAUAGGCCGGGUGUGUAAGCGCAGCGAUGCGUUGAGCUAACCGGUACUAAUGAACCGUGAGGCUUAACCUUACAACGCCGAAGCUGUU
rnacentral:rRNA from 1 species